rnacentral:rRNA from 1 species
CAAAAUUUGGAAUAUGUUGGAGGCAGCGAGGAAAUUGCUCAUGUUGAGCGGCGCAGUUUGUCCUUACGCACUCUCAUUCUAAAUCUGAAAGUGCAUUACAGUGUCGCUCGACAAGGAGUAAUCAUGAUGCUGCAUUGGUUAUAUCCUGGAAAACAAUUGUCUGAUGGAUUGAUGGCAUUAGUUGAUGAAAAUUCCGUGAAGUACAUGCUCUCAUAUGAAACAGAUGGAGGUGUAGUGGACAUAUAUGUUGAGGACAUUAGUAGUAAUGAGCCAGAACAACAAAGUUAUAGGGAUGAUGAAGUACCCGCGGGCGGUGAUGAGAAUUCAAAGCAAAGUUUUGGGGAUGAUGAAGUACCUGCUGGUGGUAAAGAGGAAUCAAAUCAAAGUGAUGCUGUUGAUGGCAAUGGUACCGAUUCUUCAUCCGAUAGUGACUUUGUGUUAUCGGAUUGCUCAACAUCCGAUGAUGAGGUGGAGGAGAUUAGGCAGAAGUACAAGGAUUUCAAGAGCAAGAGCAAGGGCAAGGGCAAGGACAUCACUGCUAUAGAGAAGGCCAUUGCACCUCCGACAAAAAAAAAGAUAGUAGCUGACUCAAGUUAUGAAGAUGAUGAAUCAUAUGAUGAAGAUAGUGAUGGUCAGCUUGUUGUUCAUGAGUCCGAGUUUCCAAAGUAUUCGAGUCAGGCUGAGGUGAAGAAAUUCAGUUUGGGAAUGAAGUUUAGUGGAAAGAAACAGUUCAAAGAGGCAAUAGUGGACUAUGGUCUUAGGAAGAGGAAGGAAAUAAAAUUCAUUAAGGAUGAGGGUGACAGGGUGAGAGCAAAGUGCACUUGGCCAACUUGCAAAUGGGUUUGUUUAACGAGGAAGACUAGCAAGUUUGAAAGCUGGCAGAUUACUUCUUUCAUUGAUGAGCACACAUGCCCAAAGAGGAGAGACAACAAGUUGGUGACAUGCACCAGAAUAGCCAACAAGUUUGAGAAUUUGAUCAAGUCAAACACUGACUGGUCAGUCCAAAAUUUGAAGGCCACGGUGCAGGAGGAGAUGUUUGCUAAUGUACACAUAUCGAAGAUCAAGAGAGCUAAGGCAAUUGUCUCAAAAAGGAUUCAAGAGUCAAAAUUGGGUGAAUAUAGCCAAGUCUUCGAUUAUCAGCUAGAGCUUCUUAGAAGCAAUCCUGGUUCUACUUGCAUAGUGAAGCUAAACCCUGACAAUGAAGUUCCAACCUUUGACAAAUUCUAUAUAUGUUUUGAUGCUUGUAAGAAAGGUUUUCUGGCUAGAUGCAGAAAAGUCAUAGGUUUGGAUGGAUGUUUCUUGAAGGGGAGAGGAGGAGAGGUGUUGAGUGCAAUUGGAAGAGAUGCAAACCAUCAGAUGUAUCCGAUAGCGUGGGCACUUGUAGACAAAGAGACCAAUGAAACCUGGGAUUGGUUUGUUAGCCUGUUGUGCUCAGACUUAAAACUUGGAGAUGGAUCGGACUAUGUUAUUAUUUCUGAUCAGCAGAAAGUAAUUCUC